AAAGCGGACCAAAAAAUCUUCCUGACAUACGGCACUGAUUUUACAAAUUACUUAGAAGACGAAGAAUAAGGAAUCUACAUGGAAUUUGAAGUACGAUAGGAAAUAGGCGGAUUUUAUUUCUACUCAUAAUUAGUAUAUUUUUUUCUGUAUAAAAAUGUCACAUUAUAUUUGUAUAUUUAUAAUUUA
rnacentral:lncRNA from 1 species